rnacentral:rRNA from 1 species
UACAGAGGUCCCAAGCGUUGUUCGGAUUCACUGGGCGUAAAGGGUGCGUAGGUGGCCGGGUAAGUCUGACGUGAAAUCUCCGAGCCUAACUCGGAAACUGCAUCGGAUACUAUCCGGCUUGAGGGUUGGAGGGGGGACUGGAAUACUUGGUGUAGCAGUGAAAUGCGUAGAUAUCAAGUGGAACACCAGUGGCGAAAGGCGAGUCCCUGGACAACUCCUGACACUGAGGCACGAAAGCUAGGGGAGCAAACAGG